GCUGGGCAGUGGGAGAGGAUGGAGGCAGAGCAAUGGAGAGAUGUUGCUGAAGAGGCUUGCCUUUUUCCUGAUGAUCCUCCAAACCUCCUAUGCUGGCUGGGCUCUACCUCAGCCGACCCCAGCUCCCCGUAGACUUGCUCGUCCUCGAGUUGGAUUCCUACCUGUUGGGAAGGAUCAGGUGCACGUUGGUUUUGGAGCAAGGGUUUGCCUCCCCACCACUAUUCCCUCUGGUGGGUGUGUUUAAAGGAAGAGCAGGGGGAGAACAAGAUCCUGAAGAGUCAUGAAUGAUGUCUGAAGUUAUACUUGGGUUGGGACUGUGCUUAUUGAUUUUCAAUGAAACCACGUACAAAAGGAAGAGACCUCCUUGCCUCCCUCUGAUCCAAGAUACUCCUCCAGCCUUUUUUUU